rnacentral:tmRNA from 1 species
CCGUUUGAAAUCCGCGCCGCUGCAUCCUAUAUCGGUCGGUGCCGGCUUGCCGGCUAUGGUGAUAAAGUGUGCCGUGUAAUAGAUGCAGCGGACCCGGGGGCGGUACCCGGCGGCUCCACCACAAAGCCCGGUUUUCCGGGCUUCAUGAUGGGGCCGAACUAGGAUCGACGUGUGUUCAAAGACGGUAUUUUUGCCCGGCCUGAAUGAGCCGUUAAACCGUUCAAAACCUACAAGUGCCAACGACAACGAGGCGCUCGCGAUUGCCGCGUAACUGAGUCCUAACGGACGACGUUACAAGGCUUAAGCGCGGUUCGGUCCGCACCGGGCAACAGAAGCGGAAUCCG